AUCUUUUUUUUAAAAAGAAAGAAAGAAAAGGUGAUAUAACGUGUGCUUUCCAGUACUUGUACAAACCUUCCUUCCUGAGGCCCUUGGGACAUUAGCAUGUGAAACUCGGUUCUUGAGCUUUGGUCUCUGAAUUUUGUCUACAGAUAUGAUGCUCACUGUUGAUUGCCGACAAGAUCUGAAAUCACCCAGGAGAUGCACUUCCAGGCACACUUGUGAAGGAUCAUACAGAUUAAAUAAACCUCUGCUCACAUGUGUGAGGAAUUGUCUGGAUUGGGUUAAAUGAAGGGAGAAGACCCACCCCAGCGGUGGGCAGCACUAUUCCCUAGCUCAGGUCCUAGUCUACACAACAAAGAAGACUAUCUGAGCACCCGUGGAUGGAGGUUCUCUGCAGCCCGACUGUGAGCCCAAUGUGCCCGGCUCUCUCAUACUCCCUCUGCCAGGACUUCUGGGUCAUGAUGUACUGUACUCCAAGAACUAUAACCUAAAUAAUUAAACCGGUUUCCCUGAAGUUGUCUUUGUCAGGAGAAAGUAACUACCACAAGCCUGUGGUUACACAGCCAAUUGAUGUUUACAGCCCUUUAUCAGGUAAAGUGUUAGGGUUUACAUUGGAAAUGUGCCUCCAAUCCAUGUGGGUCCUUAGGGGUCCAUUGUCUGACUACUUCCUGUCUUGCUUUUACUUUCUAGUUCGCUCUAAUGGGAGUAGCCUCCAUCACACACCCCUGUGGUCGCAAACUGAGCUGUUUUACUGUGAUAAACUGAAAAGAAACCUCUGAAACCAUGGACCCCAAUAAAUGCUUCUUCCUGUAAACUGUGAAUGACAAGAAAUUCGAUCGCACUGAGGCAAAACCUAACCUAAGAGGUUAGAAAGGUGGAAACCUCACUGUGCUCUUUUAUAGCUAUGCCUCGGGCUGAGAUGAAGGAGCUUUCAGGGAGGGGGGUACUUAAUAAAAUCAGGAAACCUCUUCCAUGUAGACUUGAUGUGGAAUAUGGGUCCACAAACCCUAGAGAGACAGCUUUUCUGUGUCAACAGCUGGGUGAUAGUUUCUGAUUUGGAAGCUUUCUCCCUGGACAGAUGCAGGCCAGUGCUGCUGUGUGGGUUGAAUUUCUGAAAAUUCCACCCCGCUUACCACUAUACAAACUGCCUAUCUUCUGGGGAUGAUGCAGUCUGCUGCUGAGGAUCUGGACCAGCACCAUGCAAAGUGGCUGUUUCUAGGGAAACCAAAGACUGAAGUGGGAAUGAAGUCACGCUGUCCUUUAUCUGAUGAUGAAGCUGAGAGGCUGAGCAUCUGAGCCUCACAGAGAUAAGAGCCUGAAGUCACGGAUGCCGCUCCUUGUGUGGGGGAGAAGACUCCAGACCACUGCUGCCAGGACAGUAGGGAAGGGAACUCGAUAUCCAGAGUUAAGACGGACAUCCUCGAGUAGAUUUGCCCUAGGAAGGCUGAAGGAACUGCCUGCUCUGCCAUUGUGUGCAGUGUGCUCAUGUCUUUAAGCCUUCUGAGGAUCCUAGGAUGUGGCUAUGGUUCCCACCCCACAGAGGAGAAGACAAGCACAGAGGUAACAGACCCACGGUUACCUACCUCCGUGUCAGACUUCUCACCCAGGGGAUCUGACCAGAGCCUUUCUUGUAACCCUCUAUGCUAUGAUGGAAGAAAGCUCAAAGGAGGGCAAGAUAGCACCUGCCUCACAGAGAGCCUGGGAGGACCGAAUUAGAAGAUGCACAUAUAAGCUUAUAGUACCUGCUUCACAGAGUAGCUAGGAGGACCGCUUUAGAAGAUGCACAUAAGAGACUAUAGCACCUGCUUCACAGAGUAGCUAGGAGGACCGCUUUAGAAGAUGCACAUAUGAGACUAUAGCACCUGCUUCACAGAAUGACUGGGAGAAUCACACUAGAAAAUGCACAUACGGUGAGCUUCAUUUACACUCUGAUGUGCCGAGUGAGUGUGUGGAGAUGGCAGCCACGACUGUUUCUGGAAAAACAGGACAAUAGCAAAGCAGCAAAUUCUACAGAAAAUUAAAUUAGCAGUCACAAAAUUAUUCACAUUUCUCAGAGUUAUGCUAUCAAGAACUCAUGUAUUUCAAAUUAUUCAUAGUUAACUAGAUUAUACAUUCAAAAACACUUGCUCAUGAUCAACUAUGAGGCACCAUUUUAUUUUGAAGAAUUUUGCAUUGGCAUAUUUUUGUUCUUGCUUUUAUUUUUUGAGACAACAUCCUGUGCAGCCCAGACUGGCCUUGAUUCUGCUGCUCCUGCCUCCCCAGGGCUUGAUUACAGGCAUGUCACACUAUACCCAACUCUGACAUUGCUAUUCAAAAAUAAACAUUCUUUUCAAAGAGUUGAACAUAUAUCACCAAAGGGGGUCAGGUGUUAAUGCCUUUAUAUUGCUUUCUAAACACCUCAGAGAGAGAGAGACUGGAACAGACAGAACCUGAUCAGCAAAGUGACUCCCUUGUGGGAGAAAAGUAAGAGAAGGUAAGUAAAGACAAUGGCAGUCAGGACCUUGGCAUUUAAAAAGAAUUAUCUUAACCCCUAAAUUAUUAAAUGGAAAAUUCCAGAAAUAGACACCUCAUACAUCUUAAAUUGCAUGAUAGCUCAAAUAGCAUUUUUUUUUGCCUUUUUUUUUUUUUUGGUUUUUCGAGACAAGGUUUCUCUGUG